rnacentral:lncRNA from 1 species
UUUUCUCACUACACAACCCAACUGGCCACCCACACACACACUGUUACUGUUUCCUUUUGUCACUAAUAUUGGCGACUCAACUCAUUGUUAGUCUGGUAACUCCCAAGCAUCACCAAUAUCGGCGACCAACUUAAUCUUUUGAGUGAUGACAACUAAUAUCGGCGCCCCAACCCCAUGUCAACACUACCACCGCUAAUAUAUCAUCACCACAUUCAUACUCAAUAUACCGCAUAUACAUGCAUACUUAACCCAUAUACAAGUCAUUACAAUUUAAAAUACUGAUAAACAAUCAAUAU